CCGCAAUAACCCGGUACAGGUAAGCUGUGCUCCUGCUGCUUCAUUGUUUCGGCUUUGUCAUUGUUGCUGCUGUUAACCUGACGCUGUCUGAUACAGCCUCUGUUGCCGCUUGGGUGGUGUCUACUGGUGGAAGGACCACGCCGAGUUUUAUUUGUUUUUAGGGUCUGGUCCGAGCGUGGCUGCCCGGGAAGGUGGAGGGUUUUGGUGAUAGAGUCUCUCACUUCAGCCCCAUCACUCCUUGUGUGACGUGGUAUUUUUGCACACCCCUCACUUAUUUUGCAUGCUUUUGUUGUCCUAUUGUUUGCUGUGGAUGUGUAUGUGUCUUACACGGAGCGUAGUGAGUACUCUGUUCCAUAGACAACUGCGGCCUCUCACCGCGUGCACCCGCGGCCGGUCAGCCCCCCUGGCAUUUGCUAAUUU